rfam:Enterococcus hirae ATCC 9790, complete genome.
GUCUAUAUGCUAUAAUCCUUUAUGACAGUAAAGUUUAAUGACGGUGGCUUUCCAUUCUGAAAGCGAGGUGGUGCUUAUGCACAUAAUCCCACACUUUAGAGAAAGGAGAUGCCUUUUUGUCCGCAUAUGAGACAAUUCAAACCAUUCUUGGGUUUGGUAUGUUUACCAUUUCUUUGAUUGGCUUGGU